rnacentral:sRNA from 1 species
GAUAGAUUCAUUUUUUAUUAUUAUUUUUUAACUGCAAGGGUAAUUGUAAAAUCAUAGUGUAAAGUUUGUGUGGUGUUUCUGCUUUUUGUAAUGUUUGGAACUUGCCUCUGCAGGUAAAAUCCCAGAGGAAUCCAAAGCCCUCUCUUUAUUGGCUCCUGCUCCAACCAUGACAAGUCUGAUGCCUGGUGCAGGAUUGCUUCCAAUACCAACCCCAAAUCCUUUGACUACUCUUGGUGUUUCACUUAGCAGUUUGGGAGCUAUACCAGCAGCAGCACUAGACCCCAACAUUGCAACACUUGGAGAGAUACCACAGCCACCACUUAUGGGAAAUGUGGAUCCUUCCAAAAUAGAUGAAAUUAGGAGAACGGUUUAUGUUGGAAAUCUGAAUUCCCAGACAACGACAGCUGAUCAACUACUUGAAUUUUUUAAACAAGUUGGAGAAGUGAAGUUUGUGCGGAUGGCAGGUGAUGAGACUCAGCCAACUCGGUUUGCUUUUGUGGAAUUUGCAGACCAAAAUUCUGUACCAAGGGCCCUUGCUUUUAAUGGAGUUAUGUUUGGAGACAGGCCACUGAAGUAAGAAAUCCUAAACAAAGAAAUUUUAAUGAUUUUGAAAAAAUUUAAAGUAUUUUUGAUGUAAUUAAGGCUUUUUUUUUUCUUUUUAAUAGUAAUUGGCAAUUUGUGGAAAGGAAGACUUUGUGUUAAGUAUAAAUGAAAUACAUGAGAUACUUACCAUUUUAGUCUUUAAUUUCUUUUAUUUAGAGACAUUUAUUUUCUCAUUUUCUGUUUUCUAGGGUCUAAUUCAGUGUUAACAUUAUUUAUAUACCCUGCGUAACGGUUGUAGGUCUUUUUCUAUAAACUUUAAUAAGUCAGGUUGGUUUUACAUUAUGACACUAGACUAAUUGAGCAACUUAACACGUGGGUUGAACUCUAGUACUUCCAGUAACAACUGUGGUAAAUUCAAAAUCUACAGAAGGAAAUUAUAAGUGCCCAGAAAUGUUUUAAGCCAGAAAUUUUGACUUUUGAGGUUUGCUUACAUCCUUGUUUGUAAAACAUUGAUAAUGGCCUUCGAGAUACUCCAGACCAGAAAUUCUAUUUCAUGCAGAUUGUUGAGGCAAAUAUAGUUUUGCUUGAAUUUCAUAGAUUGCUUUAGUUAUACAAUUUGAUCAGGAUUUUUCUGUUAAGGAUAAGUUUUUAGUGGGUACUUGUCUUCUCAGUGUGGAAGGGGUAAAGCAAGACACAUAAUAUCCAUUCAUGUGCAUCAGAGAAGUCACUCUACCUAGUAGAGGAAGAGUUCUGUCAGAUGCCUUGCACAUUCAAAGCUAUGUCUAACUCAGCCAUGGUUCAGCAUUGGUUAAAAUGGUGUACAUAAUAUGAUGAUAUACAGGUAGCUUUCCCUUCUUCUAGAGUGUACAGGUUGUCAGUAAGAUCUUUUGAUCUGAAAAUAGAAAUGAUUCAUUUUCAUAUUGGUAUCAACAUUUUAAUUUAUUUUAAUUCUAAGCUGUGGAAAAGCACUUAAUCUAGUCUGUUUGAAUUAAGUUAGCUAGGGUUCAACUUUUCUGCCUGCUUUUGGUUGUAUUAGCAAGGAAUGGUAGGAAGUGGGGAUGAGAGAUUAAUCAUGGUUUUGAGGUUGCUUUUGGUUAUUCUGUAUAUCAUUCUUACGUGCUUCUGAGAUGUCCUCACGUUUAUAAAUAUGUGUAUCAUAUAAAUGUUUGUUUCAUGUUUUAUGAAAUGUGGUGUGUAUUUGUGAUAUGCUAAUAUUUUUAAUUUAGAAUAAAUCACUCCAACAAUGCAAUAGUAAAACCCCCUGAGAUGACACCUCAGGCUGCAGCUAAGGAGUUAGAAGAAGUAAUGAAGCGAGUACGAGAAGCUCAGUCAUUUAUCUCAGCAGCUAUUGAACCAGAGUCUGGAAAGAGCAAUGAAAGAAAAGGCGGUCGAUCUCGUUCCCAUACUCGCUCAAAAUCCAGGUCUAGCUCAAAAUCCCAUUCUAGAAGGAAAAGAUCACAAUCAAAACACAGGAGUAGAUCCCAUAAUAGAUCACGUUCAAGACAGAAAGACAGACGUAGAUCUAAGAGCCCACAUAAAAAACGCUCUAAAUCAAGGGAGAGACGGAAGUCAAGGAGUCGUUCGCGUUCACGGGACAAGAGAAAAGACACUCGAGAAAAGAUCAAGGAAAAGGAAAGAGUGAAAGAGAAAGACAGGGAAAAGGAGAGAGAGAGGGAAAAGGAACGUGAAAAAGAAAAGGAACGGGGUAAAAACAAAGAUAAAGACCGGGACAAGGAACGGGAAAAGGACCGGGAAAAAGACAAGGAAAAGGACAGAGAGAGAGAACGGGAAAAAGAGCAUGAAAAGGAUCGAGACAAAGAGAAGGAAAA